rnacentral:rRNA from 1 species
CCUACGGGGGGCGGCAGUCGAGAAUCAUUCACAAUGGGGGAAACCCUGAUGGUGCGACGCCGCGUGGGGGAAUGAAGGUCUUCGGAUUGUAAACCCCUGUCAUGUGGGAGCAAAUUAAAAAGAUAGUACCACAAGAGGAAGAGACGGCUAAAUCUGUGCCAGCAGCCGCGGUAAUACAGAGGUCGCAAGAGUUGUUCGGGAUCACUGGGCGUAAAGCGUGCGUAGGCUGUUUCGUAAGUCGUGUGUGAAAGGCGCGGGCUCAACCCGCGGACGGCGCAUGAUACUGCGAGACUAGAGAAAGGGAGGGGGGACCGGGAUACUCGGUGUAGCAGGGAAAUGCGUAGAUAUCGAGAG